CGGCAUGCCUAACACAUGCAAGUCGAACGGGAGUAGCAAUACUCUAGUGGCGGACGGGUGAGGAAUACGUAGGAAUUUGCCCUUAAGUGGGGGAUAACCCGGGGAAACCCGGAUUAAUACCGCAUGAUCUCGAAAGAGCAAAGUGGGGGAUCGCAAGACCUCACGCUUUUGGAGAAGCCUACGUCGGAUUAGCUAGUUGGUGAGGUAAUGGCUCACCAAGGCGACGAUCCGUAACUGGUCUGAGAGGAUGAUCAGUCACACCGGAACUGAGACACGGUCCGGACUCCUACGGGAGGCAGCAGUGGGGAAUAUUGGACAAUGGGCGAAAGCCUGAUCCAGCAAUGCCGCGUGUGUGAAGAAGGCCUUCGGGUUGUAAAGCACUUUAAGUUGGGAAGAAAAAAUUCCACCUAAUACGUGGAGUCUUGACGGUACCGACAGAAUAAGCACCGGCUAACUCUGUGCCAGCAGCCGCGGUAAUACAGAGGGUGCAAGCGUUAAUCGGAUUUACUGGGCGUAAAGCGUGCGUAGGCGGUUCGUUAAGUCGGUUGUGAAAGCCCUGGGCUCAACCUGGGAAUUGCGGCCGAUACUGAUGGACUAGAGAACGGUAGAGGGAGGCGGAACUCCAGGUGUAGCGGUGAAAUGCGUAGAUAUCUGGAAGAACACCGAUGGCGAAGGCAACCUCCUGGGCCUGUUCUGACGCUGAGGCACGAAAGCGUGGGUAGCAAACAGGAUUAGAUACCCUGGUAGUCCACGCUGUAAACGAUGAGAACUUGACGUCGGGUCGCUUAGCGAUUCGGUGUCGAAGCUAACGCGCUAAGUUCUCCGCCUGGGGAGUACGGCCGCAAGGUUGAAACUCAAAGGAA
rnacentral:rRNA from 1 species